GUCCAGACUUUGAUCCUGGCUCAGGACGAACGCUGGCGGCGUGCUUAACACAUGCAAGUCGAACGGGAGGAAAAGAGAAGCUUGCUUCUUUUUGAAUCUAGUGGCAAACGGGUGAGUAACACGUAAACAACCUGCCUUCAGGAUGGGGACAACAGACGGAAACGACUGCUAAUACCGAAUGUGUUCCGGAGACCGCAUGAUUUCCGGAAGAAAGGAUGGCCUCUAUUUAUAAGCUAUCGCCUGAAGAGGGGUUUGCGUCUGAUUAGGCAGUUGGUGAGGUAACGGCCCACCAAACCUACGAUCAGUAGCCGGUCUGAGAGGAUGAACGGCCACACUGGAACUGAGACACGGUCCAGACUCCUACGGGAGGCAGCAGUGGGGAAUCUUCCGCAAUGGACGAAAGUCUGACGGAGCAACGCCGCGUGAGUGAUGACGGCCUUCGGGUUGUAAAGCUCUGUGAUCGGGGACGAAUGGCUGGUAUGCUAAUACCAUAUCAGGGUGACGGUACCCGAAUAGCAAGCCACGGCUAACUACGUGCCAGCAGCCGCGGUAAUACGUAGGUGGCAAGCGUUGUCCGGAAUUAUUGGGCGUAAAGCGCGCGCAGGCGGCUUCUUAAGUCCAUCUUAAAAGUGCGGGGCUUAACCCCGUGAUGGGAUGGAAACUGGGAGGCUGGAGUAUCGGAGAGGAAAGUGGAAUUCCUAGUGUAGCGGUGAAAUGCGUAGAGAUUAGGAAGAACACCGGUGGCGUA
rnacentral:rRNA from 1 species